rnacentral:rRNA from 1 species
AUACGAAGGGGGCUAGCGUUGUUCGGAAUUACUGGGCGUAAAGCGCGCGUAGGCGGAUUGGUCAGUUAGGGGUGAAAUCCCAGGGCUUAACCCUGGAACUGCCUCUAAUACUGCCAGUCUUGAGUUCGGGAGAGGUGAGUGGAAUUCCUAGUGUAGAGGUGAAAUUCGUAGAUAUUAGGAAGAACACCAGUGGCGAAGGCGGCUCAUUGGCCCGAUACUGACGCUGAGGUGCGAAAGCGUGGGGAGCAAACAGGAUUAGAAACCCUAGUAGUCC